rnacentral:tRNA from 1 species
GGUGGUAUAGCUCAUUGGCAGGGCAAGUGCUUAGUGUGCACAAGGUCCUGGGCUCAAUCCCUAGUACCUCCA